rnacentral:tRNA from 1 species
UGUGGGAUAUAGCAGUUUGGUAGCUAACAAGGCUCAUAACCUCGAGGUCAUGGGUUCAAAUCCCAUUCCCGCAA